rnacentral:rRNA from 1 species
AGAACGAACGCUGGCGGCGUGCCUAACACAUGCAAGUCGAGCGAGAAAGCUCCUUCGGGGGUGAGUAAAGCGGCGCACGGGUGAGUAACACGUAGGUAACCUACCCUCGAGCCCGGAAUAACCUACCGAAAGGUGGGCUAAUACCGGAUGUGACCACGGAAGUUACGGCUUCUGCGGUAAAAGAUGGCCUAAGCUUGCAAGCUAUCACUUGAGGAUGGGCCUGCGUACCAUUAGCUAGUUGGCGGGUAAUGGCCCACCAAGGCUAUGAUGGUUAGC